AGUGAACGCUGGCGGUAGGCCUAACACAUGCAAGUCGAACGGCAGCACAGUAAGAGCUUGCUCUUACGGGUGGCGAGUGGCGGACGGGUGAGGAAUACAUCGGAAUCUACUUUUUCGUGGGGGAUAACGUAGGGAAACUUACGCUAAUACCGCAUACGACCUACGGGUGAAAGCAGGGGAUCUUCGGACCUUGCGCGAUUGAAUGAGCCGAUGUCGGAUUAGCUAGUUGGCGGGGUAAAGGCCCACCAAGGCGACGAUCCGUAGCUGGUCUGAGAGGAUGAUCAGCCACACUGGAACUGAGACACGGUCCAAACUCCUACGGGAGGCAGCAGUGGGGAAUAUUGGACAAAGGGCGCAAGCCUGAUCCAGCCAUACCGCGUGGGUGAAGAAGGCCUUCGGGUUGUAAAGCCCUUUUGUUGGGAAAGAAAAGCAGCAGGUUAAUACGCCGCUGUUCUGACGGUACCAAAAGAAUAAGCACCGGCUAACUUCGUG
rnacentral:rRNA from 1 species